UACGUAGGGGGCUAGCGUUAUCCGGAAUUACUGGGCGUAAAGGGUGCGUAGGUGGUUUCUUAAGUCAGAGGUGAAAGGCUACGGCUCAACCGUAGUAAGCCUUUGAAACUGGGAGACUUGAGUGCAGGAGAGGAGAGUGGAAUUCCUAGUGUAGCGGUGAAAUACGUAGAUAUUAGGAGGAACACCAGUUGCGAAGGCGGCUCUCUGGACUGUAACUGACACUGAGGCACGAAAGCGUGGGGAGCAAACAGGAUUAGAUACCCCCGUAGUCCCUGAGCGGG
rnacentral:rRNA from 1 species